GGGAGGAAAGCCGUCUGCCAAAGCCUGAAGCCUCCAAGUUCUGUAGUUCAGGAACCUUGUCUGUUGUAGCAGGGAUAAAACCCACAAGAACAUGGAUACAGAACAGUUUUGGAAUGAACAUUGCCAGUGCUACAAUUGCACUAGUGGGGACUGCUUUUCUCUCACUAAAUAUAGCAGUUAAUAUCCAGUCAUUAAGGAGUUGUCACUCUUCAUCAGAGUCACCGGACCUAUGCAAUUACAUGGGCUCCAUAUCAAAUGGCAUGGUGUCUCUACUGCUGAUUCUCACCUUGCUGGAAUUAUGCGUAACCAUCUCUACCAUAGCCAUGUGGUGCAAUGCAAACUGCUGUAAUUCAAGAGAGGUGAGAUUUUUCAAAUGAUUAAUCAUUCACAUGAUCUCAAAGCCUCCCUGUAGGGUUUGAAGUUGUUUCUGAUGCUUAGAAAUAAACCUUUAUGUGGUAAUGAUUUGUGGAGUUCCUGGAAUUAGAGAUUGUAUGAAUGUUAGAGAUGGAAUGAAGGGUAGAAAAGAAUUUGGAUGUGAACAUGCAAGAGGAAAUACUGUACUUGAUAUAUAAGAGCAUACUUUCUUAUACAGCUGUAAUUAAGUUUUAUUAUUUUCUUAUAACUUGUAACUUUCUAAUUGUAUGACCUAGGAAAAAUUAAUAAUUCUUUCUAAAUUUUAGAUAUAUUAACUGUAAAAUGAAAAUAAUAUUUUCAUUCUCUUCUAAUGUUUGUUGUGAGUACUGUGUAUAUAAUCUUUAUGGCAUUUGGCACAGUAAACAUCAAUGAAUGGAUUUUAUUGUUGAUGAUUAUGAUGAUAACAGGAAGGGAUGGGAGGAGAAGGAGAUAAUGAUCCUGUUCUUGGACAUUAAUGUUGUUUUAUUUUCUAGGAAAUUUCCUCACCUCCCAAUUCUGUGUAAUCAAGAAUACCUCCUUAAUUCUGAGAGCAUGAAUAUUUGACCUUAAAUCUCCAGUGACUCAGAGCUUCACCCACAAACUCAGGAGAACAUAAGCCUGCUCGUAAAGCUCAAUCCUUCUAUCAUGGCACCAAUCACAAGAACCUUGGACGUUUGACUGACUCUAUCCUUUCUCUCCUAACUAUAAAUCCUAUUUGUGUGUCGUGGGUAUGGAAGGACAGAUAUAUUUCUUUAGGCAUUCUUGGAUAUCUGUAACUUCUAUGAUCAUUACUCCAAAGUUGUUUCCAGAAAUUGGUUCUAUUUCUUCUUAUCCACCUACUCCAUUGCUUUAUGAGGUUUAAGGAAGGAAGGCGGUAUAAUCCCUAUUCAAUAUAUUUUUUCUAAAAUCCAACUUCUGACCGCCCAGUAGGAAGAAAAAUGAGACAUUUUUUCCAUUACAGAGAAAUGCUUCUUGACUUUAACAUCAGCAUUAUAAAAAGUGUCAAAUAAAAAAUUACCAUCAUUAUCAUUAAAAUAAAUUUUCACUGUAUUUGAGAUGGGAGGGUUAAGGCUCAGGGAUUUUAUUUCAGUGAACUGCUGGAACUCACACAUGCCCUGAUAUGUAAAUGAUGAUUUAUGUUGGCGAGUCUGAGAGCAAGCCCAAAUGUGUUCUUCAAAGGACAAUGGGAAACUGUAAAGUAGAGAACUAAAGAAUAAGGCCUUUAGAAUCUGACACAUCUGGGUUCAAAUUCUGAAACUGUCACUUAUUACC
rnacentral:lncRNA from 1 species